CUUCCGAAUAUUUACCCAAUAAUGGGUGAAAAUAUACUUCUUGUAAUUAAAACAUUCUGCAGUUGAAGUGGAAGCGGCACCGACAAUGACGUUGGAAUGAGUAAAUCAUUUGUUUUGCACCUCAUACACUGCUUAUAGUGAAGGCCCCUCAAGUGUCCGGCAAAUUCUUGGGCAAAUUGCUAUUUCCUGUGCCAUGAUCUACCCGGCUGCUAACGGGGCAUUUUAUGUGGCACCUUGUUCGCUGGACUCAGCACCGAUGACGCUGAAUCGAAGCAGUUCCGGCGACUGAUGGCAUGAUGGGUCUCGUUUCACAAAGGCAUCUCGGAUGGCGUCUCGAAAGGCUCCAAUCAGAGCCAGCGAAUCUUUAUUCUGGCCGGAUUUGGUUGGUCCGGCUGUGACCCGACCGAUUCGCACGGAUUUUGGCACCUCGUUUUCCCACACGGCCCGCCACCUCAGUAAAGGACAAGGAACAAAGUGUCCAUUCGCUGGAUCAGCUACAAUACACGUUUAAUUUAAAUCGAGAAUCAUUUGAGUAGCU